rnacentral:tRNA from 1 species
ACUUAUAUAGUAUUUUAUACAUUUAAUUUCCAAUUAAAAAUCCCAUUUAAUCAAUAAUGGUAUAAGUA